AAUAUUGCUCAAUGGGCGCAAGCCUGAAGCAGCGACGCCGCGUGAGGGAUGACGGCCUUCGGGUUGUAAACCUCUUUCAGCAGGGACGAAGCGAAAGUGACGGUACCUGCAGAAGAAGCACCGGCCAACUACGUGCCAGCAGCCGCGGUAAUACGUAGGGUGCGAGCGUUGUCCGGAAUCAUUGGGCGUAAAGGGCUCCUAGGCGGUUCAGUAAGUCGACUGUGAAAAUCCAAGGCUCAACCUUGGGACGCCAGUCGAUACUGCUGUGACUCGAGUUCGGUAGAGGAGUGUGGAAUUCCUGGUGUAGCGGUGAAAUGCGCAGAUAUCAGGAGGAACACCAACGGCGAAGGCAGCACUCUGGGCCGAUACUGACGCUGAAGAGCGAAAGCGUGGGGAGCAAA
rnacentral:rRNA from 1 species